UGAUAUUACCCCUGAUAUAUUUUUGAAACUGUUAACUUUUAACAGACAAGAAUCAAAUGGAAGAUAUUUACUUAAUGAUGUUCUAUAAAAACAGGCAUAGAACCCAGGGAAGGCAUUUUCAAAUCUCAACUAUGGCUCAUAAUGGCUGGGUGUCAUCUGUACCUUUAUAUAAAUAAGAGAGGUUCAGCGCUAUCAAACAAGGUUCAAUCCACCAUUUUCUACAUAAAAAAAUGCCUGUACCAUGUCAGGAAUGUGACAGUUGUAAACCAUUCGUUUGAUGUGUUUGAGCAAUUGAUUACAGACUUUCGGUUUUGAAUUUUCCUUGGAGAUCAUUUUUUUUGUAGUUUUACGUGUUUUUUUUGCACAGUUAAAAUAUAAAUGAAAUUAUAAGUGGUUACCUAUUUUCAAAGUUCCUUCCAUGGGUACCAUGUAUGUUUAAAUGGACCAGCCAUUUUUCUUAUAAUGAAUGUAAAUAUUUAUACAUGUAUUAAAUCAUUCGUUAAUCAGUAUAGAUAUUUUGGUAUCAGUUAGUUUUAGAUUAAUUAGUUAGAGUAAUUGAUCCAUCUCAAAUUUGAUAUAAGAGUGCUAAUAACCUUUUCAUAUAUUUUUUUUAAAGAUUUUGUUUGUUUUGCAUUAUAAAAUUUGAAAUUUAAAAGCAAUUGAUAUGAUUAUUUGUUCAAUUAUAUUUAUGAUUUGUAUCUAUAUCUUUGAUGUAUUUACUUUUAGCUUUUUUGUACACUUUGUGAGCCAAGGCUCUGUGUUGAAGACAGUACUUUGACCUAUAAUUGUUUACUUUUACAAAUUUAGACUUGGAUGGAGAGUUGUCUCAUAGGCACUCAUACCACAUCUUAUUUUAUCUAUUGUCUGUCUUCAAGGCUAAUUUCCUUUUUAGCUCACCUGGCCCGAAUUUUGCAGUUUUUGGUUAUAAUCUUGAAUAUAAUUAUAGAUAGCCAUGAACUGUAAACAGCAAUAAUGUUCAGCAAAGAAAGGUCUACAAUUAAGUCAACAUAACUAAAAUUUUCAAAUGACCCUUUAAGGAGUUAUCGCCCUUUAUAGUCAAUUUUUAACAAUUGAGAGCCUCUAGUUUAUUUUUGCCAUGUCAUUGUCAGUUUAUUUUUUCCACUUAUGAAAUUAAAUACUCUUUUUUUUUGGCUAACCAAUCCUUUUGCCUUCUUUCAGCUAACCUAGAAAAAUGGCAAUGUAUAACUUGUUAUUACUUAGUGUGUGUUAUUGUCUGUUCUUGAAUGAGUCACAAAAUGAGAAACAAGAGGUCAUCCUUACAACCCUUAAUGUAAAGUAUUUUAUUAUAUCUCAAGAAACAAAGUUCCAUAAUAACAUUAACGGUACCAAUUUUCCUGCACCAAAUGCGCAUUUUGACAAUAUAUGUCUCUUCAGUGAUGCUGGUGGCCAAAAUAUUUAAAAUCCAAAGGUUAUAUAAAAGAUGAAGAGCUAUAAUCCAAAAGGUCCUAAAAGUAUAGCCAAAUCCGCGAAAGGAAUCAGAGCUUUGCAUGAGGGAGAUACAUUCCUGAGUCCUAUUUAUAAAACUUUUUAGCAUUUUGUAACAGCAAAUUUUAAUAACAGAAAAAAAUCCGUAUUGGUAUAAUGUUUUUGACCUUGUCCAUCAGUUAAUCAGUCCUGUUCUUGUAAUCGCAUCUUCGUAAAAACCAAGCAACCUUAUUUCCUGAAACUAAGAUAACAAUGACUUCAUUACCAACCCCAUCCUUAUCUUUAGUUUUUAAUUGAGUAUACAAACAAAACAAAGAGAUGUGAUAUGAUUAUCCCUAAGCUUGAGUACACUACCCAUGGCAGAUAAAAUGAUGUGGAUGUAAACAAUUUUUAAGUACUAAUGAUAUUCAGAUAGGUUGAAAAUUAUUAUAGCUUCCAUGAAUGUUAUUCUUUCACUGUAUAUGUAGCCCUAUUCCCUCAGUUAUGCUCGAGUGACUUUGUUGUAUAGCAAAUACCAAGUUUAAUAAAGUCUUCUGUUUGAUCUGAAAAGAGAUUGAAUAUAAAAAAAAAGAUGUGCCAUCAUGUGGUAUGAUAGCUAAUGAGACAACUAUCCACAAGAGACCAAAUAACACAGAAAUUAACAAUUAUAGGUCACCGUACGGCCUUCAACAAUGAGCAAAGCCCAUACCGCAUAGUCAGCUAUAAAAGUCCCCGAAAUGUAAGUGUAAAACAAUUCAAAUGAGAAAACUGACAUUCUUAUUUAUAUAAAAAAAAUGAACAAAAAGCAAAUGUGUAAACAAACAAUAACCACUGAAUUACAGGAGUCUGACUUUGGACAGGCACAUACAUACAUAAUGUGGCGAGGUUAAACCCUAGAUCUCCCACACAUGAGGCACACAGGAUACCAGUAUAAAGCCUAGAACUCCCACACAUGAGGCACACAGGAUACCAGUACAAUAACGAAACAGUCUGUUACUGUUGAAUAACUUGAUUUUGGAAUUAAAGCAUUGUUGAAAAAACAAUUUUCAGAUUCAGUGUGGUGAUGGUGAAGUAUUUAGGAUAUACCGUUGUCAUAUUUUAAACUGUUGUAUAAGCAUCCGUGCACUUCAGGGGUACUUUAUAGCUAAAUGAUCUGAGACUUCAUUUGUGAGCACUAUCACACCAAUGCUGUGUUUUUGAAGUUGAACCAGCUGCAUCAGGCAGGUGUAUAAGAAUCCAAUCUUUAUAAUUAAUUGUGAAGAGAACCGUCGUGUAGUGGAUAGUGCAUCGGACUACUAAAACAAAGGUUCCUGGUUCGAUUCCCAUUUCGGGGACGAUGAUAGUCCGUCGGAAGCGGACGAUAAAUGGCUGACCCAUGUUAAGAGAGAGCCAUAUCUCUUGCACGUAAAAGACCCCCUUGUAGAUUUAAAAAAAACAGCAGACUAAAGCCGCUACAAGGCAGCACCCGCAAAGUGGAAAGGGAUUUAUUUAAGUUGUAAAACUUGUUUCCCAAUCCACUAUAAAUAAAUAUGUUUAAACUAAAGUAAUUGUGAAGGAAUGGCCGAUUUUCCUGUCGAAUGGUUGAUGUUUCUUCUGUGGUACUCAGGUUUCCUAAGCCAAUCAAAACUAAGCUUCAUUUGAAAAAAAAUGUUAACUAUUUAUUUCAUAUUGCAUAUUUACAUGUUUAUUGUAAUUUAUUUGAAUGGUAUUUAUGAUAUUUUUAUGUCUUUUGAAUAUUAAAUAUAUUUUGGAAC
rnacentral:lncRNA from 1 species